rnacentral:rRNA from 1 species
GUGCGGCGUGCUUAACACAUGCAAGUCGAACGGAAAGGCCCUGCUUUUGUGGGGUGCUCGAGUGGCGAACGGGUGAGUAACACGUGAGUAACCUGCCCUUGACUUUGGGAUAACUUCAGGAAACUGGGGCUAAUACCGGAUAGGAGCUCCUGCUGCAUGGUGGGGGUUGGAAAGUUUCGGCGGUUGGGGAUGGACUCGCGGCUUAUCAGCUUGUUGGUGGGGUAGUGGCUUACCAAGGCUUUGACGGGUAGCCGGCCUGAGAGGGUGACCGGCCACAUUGGGACUGAAAUACGGCCCAGACUCCUACGGGAGGCAGCAGUGGGGAAUAUUGCACAAUGGGCGGAAGCCUGAUGCAGCAACGCCGCGUGCGGGAUGACGGCCUUCGGGUUGUAAACCGCUUUCGCCUGUGACGAAGCGUGAGUGACGGUAAUGGGUAAAGAAGCACCGGCUAACUACGUGCCAGCAGCCGCGGUGAUACGUAGGGUGCGAGCGUUGUCCGGAUUUAUUGGGCGUAAAGGGCUCGUAGGUGGUUGAUCGCGUCGGAAGUGUAAUCUUGGGGCUUAACCCUGAGCGUGCUUUCGAUACGGGUUGACUUGAGGAAGGUAGGGGAGAAUGGAAUUCCUGGUGGAGCGGUGGAAUGCGCAGAUAUCAGGAGGAACACCAGUGGCGAAGGCGGAUCUCUGGGCCUUUCCUGACGCUGAGGAGCGAAAGCGUGCGGAGCGAACAGGCUUAGAUACCCUGGUAGUCCACGCUGUAAACGGUGGGUACUAGGUGUGGGGUCCAUUCCACAGGUUCCGUGCCGUAGCUAACGCUUUAAGUACCCCGCCUGGGGAGUACGGCCGCCAGGCUAAAACUCAAAGGAAUUGA